rnacentral:lncRNA from 1 species
UGAAACUGUCAGCUUUGCCAGGGGCUGAGCAGUGAGGAGUAGCAGCAUGGGGACAGGGUGGCUGGCCAGAGCAGUGAUCCCUCCUCGGGGUGGAGGCUCUGGUUAUGCAGGCAGAAAGUGGCUGCUGGGGACAGAGUGACUUCCAUGGGCCCCUGCGUAGUGGGGUGUGAGGCUGAGGGUCUGGUAGAGAGGAGACUGACUGGGUCUUGUGGGCUGUCUGGCUUCAGGCUCUGAGCUUUCCCUUAAGAAGAAAACACUCUCUUCUCUGAUAUUAAAGUAUUCCGUCAAAUUCCUUGGGAAUUGAGGCUUUCCACUUUGAGUGUGGGCAUUCUAUGAGUCCUCAGGUUAGAUUCCAUCAGUGUUUUAGCAGAGGCUGUCUGACAUCUCAGAAGAGAACAGUGUUUUACCUGGGGAGUGGAGUGAGCCUCUCCAUGCUCUGGGUGUGUGUGUGUGUGUGUGUGUGUGUGUGUGUGUGUGUGUGUGUCCCCAUCCACUUGACCUCCUUUAAAGGAGGAGUUACUCGUGUUUCCUUCCUGGGAGAGGCCAUCUUCCUUGACGAGCUCCCACACCAAGCCCUCUGUCCUCUUGGGAAGAAACUUCUGCAAGCUCAGGUUCCUUUGGGAAGAGCCUGCCCAGCGUGUGCCUUUUCUUUGUUGGCCAGGGAGGCCCAGGUCAGGUGCAGAGAUAGGACAGAACAGGAAGCAGAAAUGCUAGCAAUGCCGUAGAUGGGGGAUGGGUUGGGGGUUAAGAGAGUGGAUGGGGGGUUGGGGAUUUAGCUCAGUGGUAGAGCAUUUGCCUAGCAAGCGCAGGCCCUGGGUUUGGUCCCCAGCUCUGAAAAAAAAGAAAAAAAAAA